CCCUUUCUCUUUUUUAUCGAGGGUUAAUUAGGUUUCGAGCUCCCCUUCUCAUACACAUACAUAGCUCACAGAGAACGCCUCCUCCAUCUCUUCCCGAUCGUCCCUCCAUCGUCGUCGUCAUCGUCUGCGGCCUCGCCUCCACCACUCCUUCGAUUUCUUCUUCCACCUUCACUCUCUCACUUCUCUUACUGUUCAAUUCCUCGAGCGACGAUCUAUUUUUCUGAACAAUUUUCCCGUCGGUGAACGCAUCUCUGUUCUCUUCUGAGCUCGUUCCGAUUCACAGCCAUGAAUUCAUAGGUUAUGGAAGAUUGGAUACAAUUAUAUCAGCUGGAUAUAUACCAAGCUCAAAGUGUUAGGUGUGAUGCUAAGAGCUUGGAAGAUGCACUGAUCAAGCGUGUGAUGGUAACACCUGAGGAGGUCAUUACAAAAACCCUUGAUCCUGUUGCAGCUGUUGGUAGCAGGGAUGCAUUAGCCAAAUUCUAAAUCUGUCAUUGGAGUUCUUGAUAUCUAUGGGUUUGAAAGUCUUAAAUUCAAUUUAUUCAAGCUGUUGGUAGCAGGGAUGCAUUAGCCAAAUUCUAAAUCUGUCAUUGGAGUUCUUGAUAUCUAUGGGUUUGAAAGUCUUAAAUUCAAUUUAUUCAAGCUGUUGGUAGCAGGGAUGCAACUGAUGCAUUUGUUCUUCUAUGAAUUUGAAUUGAAUAGUUGAAUUUGUUGUAGGCUCUUGCUAGCUGAUGGCUAGUUGAUAUUGUACAAUUUAUCAUGGCACUUGCUUUCUAACAAGGUUGCAAGUUCUUGUAACUUUGUAACUCCAUCACUUUGUGGCGGUGGCAAGAGAAGAGGUGGUGGUGGCAGAGUUAGAGUUGGCCGGAAAGGGGAAACAGGCAAUGAGAAUGUCAACAGCAUUUUGCAUAACAGGAUGGUUAGCCCUCUUCUUCUCAAAGGAUAUGGAAUUGGAGUUAUCUCAUAUGUGGUUCCUAUAUAUAUGGCUGAAAUAGCACCAAAGAAUCUUCGAGGUGGAAUUGCAACAACAAAUCAGCUUAUGAUUGUUAUUGGAGCUUCAGUCUCAUUCUUAAUAGGAAUUGUCAUAACUUGGAGACAACUAGCUCUAGCAGGACUUGUUCCAUGCAUUUGCUUGCUGAUUGGUUUGUGCUUCAAAAUUGUGGAAUUUCUAUAAGCACUGGCUUUACUCAAGUGGAUGGUCGUGUUCUGCCUUCACCAAGGAGAAAGACAAUUCAGGCCUUGUUAGGGUACCAUAUUACAAGGCACCAAUAGAAGGAUCUGGAUAGGACUCAGAGCCAUGCUUGGAUAGUUUUUCAAAGGACAGCAUUGGAGUUGGUACAGAUUUAGCAUCAGUCAUGCCUGCUCUGUAUAGUAAAUCUCUAAUGCACAGGCAAUGAAAGAGCAAGCUCAACUGAGGGAGAAAAUGGCAUACCAAUACAAGCUUGGUAACUUUGAGGCUGCUGCUGCAAUCCAGAGAAGGUUGGAUCCUGAUGCUGCUUUAUAGUUGGAUAUAGCUUCCAUGAAUAAAUAUUGAGAAAAGAGAUUUCUGAUCAAAGAAUUUGGUGACAGCUUCAUGGAGCGCCAUCUUGGAGAUAUGAAUAAGCAACUUAGGCUCAAGGUUUUGAAAUAUAACAUACAUAUAUAUAUAUAUAUAUAUAUAGUAGGCAGAAGGGUUCAAUCUAAAAGCUAUGGAAAGCUUGUGGAGUUCAACUUCUGCUGCUACAAACAACAACUUAAUGAGAAGUCACGCCCCUUGAUCUUAGUGCAAUAACCCUGAGAAAUCUAUGGAAGAGUUCCGAGCAGCUAGUCAAAAACUUGGUGAUGGCGUGGGUGUAAAGUCUUUAAUGCAAAGCACGGGACUUGGAAUGAUUGCUGGCCAGUCACAGGAUAGAUUGAAUGGGCUGAAUCAAGGAGGACUAAGACAAAAAGCAGAAGCUUUGGCUGCUUUAAACUCUGCAUUUAAAUCAUCAUCCGGAACCAAAAGUUCUAGCCCUAAGACAACUGGAAGAAGUCAAGGAUCACAAAGAGCAGCAGCAGUAGCUGCUCUCUCUCAAGUUCUUACUGCUGAGAAGAAGAAACAAUCACCUAAUUCUUCUCCUGUGGCAACCAGAAGUCCUGUUGUGGAAACUAGCACUUCCGGUCAUACGAAGUGGAAUCCCCAACUUCUGUGCAGUUGCAUUAGCUCUCAAUGAGUUAGGAUACAAAGUAGUUGGCAUUAGACUGGACUCUGGUGACCUUGCCUAUUUGUCUUGUCAAGCCAGGAAGAUCUUUUGCUGCAUUGAAAAGGAAUUCGCGGUGUCUGACUUUGGGAAGACUAGUAUUACAGCUAGUAAUGAUCUUAAUGAGGAAACUUUAGAUGCUUUAAAUAAACAGUUUCAAGUGGUGUGACUGAAUUUCUAAUGCACAUAUGUGAUAUCAUGUUCUUGAGACUACACUUUAGGCUCUCAUGUUCUUGCUUUUCUUCUUGUGUUGAUGUUGAAAAUGCAAUUCUCACAAUGGAUAGAGCAAGCUUCUGAACCCAACAAGGAAGCAGUUAUUAAAGCAGUGUUGUUGGCUGGAGUUCCAGGAGCAGGAGGAUUUGAUGCUGUCUUUGUUGUUACUUUGGGAGAUUCAAGCAGCAAUGUGACAAAAACAUGGAGCUCACUAAAUGUUCUUGCCCUUCUGGUUAAAGAAGAUCCUUGUGGCGUUUCUUUAGAAAGUGCUGACCCUAGAACAAAUGAAAUCACUUCGGCUGUAUCUUCAAUUCAUAUUGAAUAAUUUAUUGUAAAUAUUGUUUAUUUUUAAUACGAUGAAUUUAUUUUUUUUUGAAAUAUUGUAAAUAUUCGAAUAUGAAUUAGAUAAAAAUUUGUAUUAAAUUUA